GACGAACGCUGGCGGCGUGCCUAAUACAUGCAAGUCGAGCGGACUUUCAAGAAGCUUGCUUUUUGAAAGUUAGCGGCGGACGGGUGAGUAACACGUGGGCAACCUGCCUGUAAGACGGGGAUAACUCCGGGAAACCGGGGCUAAUACCGGAUAAUAUCUUUCUUCGCAUGAAGGAAGGUUGAAAGGCGGCGCAAGCUGCCGCUUGCAGAUGGGCCCGCGGCGCAUUAGCUAGUUGGUGAGGUAACGGCUCACCAAGGCGACGAUACGUAGCCGCCCUGAGAGGGGGAUCGGCCACACUGGGAGUGAGACACGGCCCAGAGUCCUACGGGAGGCAGCAGUAGGGAAUCUUCCGCAAUGGACGAAAGUCUGACGGAGCAACGCCGCGUGAGCGAAGAAGGUCUUCGGAUCGUAAAGCUCUGUUGUCAGGGAAGAACAAGUACCGUUCGAAUAGGGCGGUACCUUGACGGUACCUGACCAGAAAGCCACGGCUAACUACGUGCCAGCCGCCGCGGUAA
rnacentral:rRNA from 1 species